UUCUCGCGUGUUCUGCGCUCAGAGACAAGCCGUCGCACGGCCCUAAGAAGGGAGGUUAACGUUGGCGGCCCCGGGAAAAGUGGACAGGAACCAUUGGGGGCGUCUACUAAGCCAUCUAUGACUGUCGAGAGUAUUUGGGGGCGGGUCGGGGUGCAUCCAAAGAGCAGAGGUCUCGUCCGGUGGGGUGGUCCCUUUGGUCACUUGUCAUAGAAUGAGUGGAGCUGCAGCCCUGCUUCAGAAAACCCGACACAGCAGUCCCACGCGUGCGGUUCCGCGUCAUUACCGGAAUCCGGGCGGAUACCCUGUGCUCUCACAUUCUGUGGCCAGAUCUUCGGUGGUUCCGACGCUCCCACAUCCUCAGCCCCGAGCACGCGGUCGUUUGACGGCCUUUAGGGUUCCUGUCACCCAAGUGUAGUAUUCUGAUACGUGGAGAAGUGGGACCCUCCCCGGGCGAGGAACAAAUCUAACGUGCAAGGCAAGGCUGUUCUCAGCACCAUGACGUUUACAUGUCCCUGUCCAGAGAUGUGCAGCAUUGUCCCCGUUAGUUCCUGUUUGCUAGCCACUUUCAUAGGCAUGACAGUCCUCUGGAUCCCUUGGUUGAUUGAUUUGAUAUGUAUACGGAUUCAGUUAAUUUAGUUUCUUGGGGGUAAAUUCUACAGCCAACCUCUCCAUGAUAGGCCCAUCAGAAUGUGCUUCUACUCGGUUCUACUGGGACAAGACUGAAGCUGGUUGAGCUGUUGGUGUCUUCGUUGUCACUUCCAGAAGCAGAAGGUGCUGAGAAGGUUGACACCUAGGUAUUUUUGUUGAGCUUGUGACCGGCGUCGUACAACAUUGGCCCCUUCCACCAUGUGAGGACACAGCAAGAAGUCCACAGUCUGCAGCCUGGAAGAGGACUGUCACCAGAACUCAACCACACCAGCACCCUGAUCAUGAACUUUCAGCCUCCAGAACCGAGACUCCACACCCAGCAUGGAGCCCAAAUCAGGGCUUGAACUCAUGAGUCUGAGAUCAAAACCUGAGUUGAGAUCAAGAGUCAGGUGCUUGGGGCAGCUGGGUGGCUCAGUUGGUUAAGCAUCUGACUCUUGGUUUUGGCUCAGGUCAUGAUCUCACGGUUUCAUGAGUUUGAACCCCGCAUCCGGCUCCAUGCUGAUGGUGCAGAGCCUGCUUGGGAUUCUCUCUCUCUCUGCCCCUCCCCCACUCACGCUAUCUCUGUCUCUCUCAAAACAAAUAAACUUAAAAAUGUAUAUAUUAAAAAAAAAAAAAGAGCCAGAUGCUUAACUGACUGAGCCACCCAGGCAUCCCUGAUACCUAAUUUAAUUGAGGCAUCUUCUGUAUUUGAGCACAUAGUCAGUUUUUCUGAAUAAUGCAUGUAUGCUAGAAUAGAAUGUGUAUCUGUUUGUUGCAUGACAAGUUGCUGUAAAUCUAUUAUCUUGGGCUUCUUAAUCCUGUUAUUAAAACUUCUAUAGCUCUCCUUCCUCUUGUCUGCUUGGUGUAUAAUUUCUCAGGGGUUAUGUAAAACUUUCCUACUACCAUUACUGAUUUUUCUGUCAGUCAUUCUAUCUACUUGAUCUCUCAUUCAUUUUUUAUAAGUAUAUAAUGGGUUCAGACAAGAGGAUACGUAGACUGAUUUCUCCCUGAUCCUUCCUGCUGAGUUCAUUAUAAGUGCCAGAAAUAACAAACGAGAGCUCUGAUAGGUAGAAAGAGGAGGGUGGACUGGGUAGAGAGACAGACCUCAGGACUAGAGGAACCCCACGGUGGCAGAGCAACUCACAACCCAAACCUAGCAUGAGAAGGUGGCCCAGGUAGGCUCAUUCUUCUCCCAGAUCAAAUAGAGGCCCUACCUACAAUACCAGAGGAGCCUGAUAGCACUGGAGGGGGAACUUAUUGGAAGGCCCACUGACCGUAAGAACCAGGGAAAGCAUUCUCUUUCCCUACGAGCCUGACUCUCCUCACCCAUCCAGAACACCAGCUGUAUGGGGAGCACCUGCAAGUGGGGAGGGGGGAGGCCUGUCACAAUCACACAGCCAGGAAGCCUCUUUGUCCCUUGGACCUGAAACUCCCCUCCCCCGCCUAGAGCUGAAGUAGGAGGGCAGUGUCACUUAGAAGAAAUGGCACUGACAAGGGGGAUCCCACCACUACAACUGAUUGAGAAGCUUCCAUGUUCCCCCAAGCCUGAGACCCCUCUCAUGCACAGAGAGAAAACAGGCUUUAAUCUGCUGCACAUACUGGGGGAUCUGACCAAGACAAUCAGCUGGCCCAGAAAGCACUCUCUGACCCAGCCACCCCUGGGAAUCUCCACCUCCACACCCAACACACAUCCACACUCACAUCUGGAGACACCAGGUGAUUGGACCACCAGGGGAAUGCCACCACAUGAAGGGCCCAAACUAGGAAGCACUCUUUUCCCCCGUGAGCUGGAGACCCAUUUCCCCACCUUAGCCCAGCCUGCGGAAGCUCUUUC